GGCGAACGGGUGAGUAAUAUAUCGGAACGUGCCCAGUCGUGGGGGAUAACGCAGCGAAAGCUGUGCUAAUACCGCAUACGAUCUCUGGAUGAAAGCGGGGGACUCGCAAGAGCCUCGCGCGAUUGGAGCGGCCGAUAUCAGAUUAGCUAGUUGGUGGGGUAAAAGCCCACCAAGGCGACGAUCUGUAGCUGGUCUGAGAGGACGACCAGCCACACUGGAACUGAGACACGGUCCAGACUCCUACGGGAGGCAGCAGUGGGGAAUUUUGGACAAUGGGCGCAAGCCUGAUCCAGCAAUGCCGCGUGCAGGAUGAAGGCCUUCGGGUUGUAAACUGCUUUUGUACGGAACGAAACGGUCCUUUCUAAUACGAGGGGCUAAUGACGGUACCGUAAGAAUAAGCACCGGCUAACUACGUGCCAGCAGCCGCGGUAAUACGUAGGGUGCGAGCGUUAAUCGGAAUUACUGGGCGUAAAGCGUGCGCAGGCGGUGAUGUAAGACAGAUGUGAAAUCCCCGGGCUCAACCUGGGACCUGCAUUUGUGACUGCAUCGCUAGAGUACGGUAGAGGGGGAUGGAAUUCCGCGUGUAGCAGUGAAAUGCGUAGAUAUGCGGAGGAACACCGAUGGCGAAGGCAAUCCCCUGGACCUGUACUGACGCUCAUGCACGAAAGCGUGGG
rnacentral:rRNA from 1 species